rnacentral:lncRNA from 1 species
GUAUAUUUGCCUCAUCACCGAAGUGUUUAGCCCAAAGUCCGGGAGAAUCCUUCAUCCCAGAGUUGUUUAUUACAAGAGCAUGAAUGUAUGGUUAGACUGGAACUGCUUAACACAAGGACUGUAAGUUAUAUUGGUUUAGGUUCUCUAAGUUAGGUCCCACUGUUAGAGACAGAUAUUGGCAGCUGUUCUUGAUCUACAAUGUAGUCCAGAGAGGCCACUGCAGUAAAUCCCAGGUAGGAGACAGAAAUAUAGAGGGAGAUAGAAAGAAAGAUCAAGACAGAGGUAUGGCAAUUGACACCAUCACAAUGCAGCUAGUGCUAAUAAAAAUUCAUAAAACAAGUAGUCAUUAAACGACCAAGCACAUGCUUUGGAAGCUGCCUAGUCAAGUGAAUAAUACAUCUGCAGUCCACAUGUGAGGAACCGCAAGUGAGCAUCCCUCUAGGGCCACCUGGAGGCCACCACUGCUGGUGGGGCAGGGGUGGCUAUGGGACACCUGGACAGCCCUGUUCUUCAUGCAACAAGGUGGACUGCAGGUCUUGUACAGAAAGCAUCUGCAGAGAUCACCCAGACAUUCCACCGAGCUAUGGCAAUCUCAAGCCUAAGUGUGUGCAGAGCCCAGACCUCCCCAUGAUCCAUUCUCAAAGAAGCUGUGUGAGCCCAGAGCCCACAAAGUAAGAAGAAGAAAGAAAGUAAGGAAGAAACACCAUACCUUGUUGAGAGCUGUAAAUGGUAUGAUAUUUUACUCCAUGUGGAGCUAACAAACUAGCCUGUCACAACUUCAAGGAUGCUGUCGGAAGACACAAGAUUCCUGGGUCAGAGCCAAAGGACCGUAUCAACGAUGGCAGUGCCUGGGCAUCCCACAUGUGUGUUUAUUCUCCUUGCCCAGAAAAAUGGUGUGGAACGCCCUCGAUGAAACGUGUACACAGUGGGUUGCAUGACAGGAGAAAAUCUCAGAGACUUAGGAACCCAAAUAUGUUAUUGUGAGCAGUGAGCAUUGCUGCCCUUGGCUCCCCGGGAAGACAACAUCUGUAUCUUCCAACAGUGUUAACUGCACAGACAUCCUUGAAAAGAUAGUCCAGAACAAAGGGUGGUUAGUGCCUUGCUGGCAAAAUGUGAUAAAAAUAUGACACUCUUUGAAAUUAUCGUCCAAUGUGUCUUUCCCAUAUGAAAUAGACAACACUUUAAACACAACUUUAAUUAAAUUUUUAUACAUUCCAAUUUGGGAAGCAGUGAUAAUUUAAAUUAUGACAAAAUUCACUGGAUGGCAGUGUCAGGGAGAGAAUGGGGAGGCCAUGCUGAGAAAAUGUUUAUACGUGCAAAGGAAGAGAAUUGCGUAGGACCUCAUAAACAGCUUUUGACUUUGCCAGUGACAAACUCAAGUGUGCUACGGAAGAGUCAGCUCCUGCAACCUGGAGCGGAGGCAAGGGGUCCGUCCUCAGUAAGUGUGGUGGGUCAAAUGGUGCCCCCAAAAACCUCAGAAUGUGACUGUGCUUGAAAUAAGAGUCUUUGCAGAGACAAAGAAGGAGACACAGAGAGACAAAGAGACGAAGAGAGGAGGGUGAUGUGAAGAUGGACGCAGAGAUCAAAUCCAUGAAGCUAAGGAAUUCCAGGAAGCGGAGAGAGCUGGGACAGAGAUAUGGAACAGACCCUCUCUCUGAGCUUCCAGAAGGUGUGAUUUUGGACUUCUCAUCCGCAGC